GGAACGUGCCGAGUAAUGGGGGAUAACGCAGCGAAAGUUGUGCUAAUACCGCAUACGCCCUGAGGGGGAAAGUGGGGGAUCGCAAGACCUCACGUUAUUCGAGCGGCCGACGUCUGAUUAGCUAGUUGGUGGGGUAAAGGCCUACCAAGGCGACGAUCAGUAGCGGGUCUGAGAGGAUGAUCCGCCACACUGGGACUGAGACACGGCCCAGACUCCUACGGGAGGCAGCAGUGGGGAAUUUUGGACAAUGGGGGCAACCCUGAUCCAGCCAUUCCGCGUGAAUGAAGAAGGCCUUCGGGUUGUAAAGCUCUUUCAGCUGGAGUGAAACGGUGCGCUCUAACAUAGCGCGCUAAUGACGGUACCAGCAGAAGAAGCACCGGCUAACUACGUGCCAGCAGCCGCGGUAAUACGUAGGGUGCGAGCGUUAAUCGGAAUUACUGGGCGUAAAGCGUGCGCAGGCGGAUUGUUAAGCAAGAUGUGAAAUCCCCGGGCUUAACCUGGGAAUGGCA
rnacentral:rRNA from 1 species